rnacentral:misc_RNA from 1 species
CUGCUUUACAAAGAUAAACUCGUAAUCAUAAAGUUCCUGUCUAUGGAAUUAUAUUAAUUUGUACAAACACGUUAUUAAUCACAAAAUGGUUCUCCAUAAGAGAUCCUUGCAUACAAAAUACCCUUUUCCUCAGAAAGCUAGCCAUCAAAGAAGACAUCCUUAAAAUCAAAUAAAACCAUCAUAUCAACUCCUAAUAUUGCAACAAAAGAU